GCACGUUCUGCAAACCUGCAAGAUUACAAUUCGAAAUGCAAGCUUACCGUGAGAAAAGAGGAAAAGGUAACGACGGUCACGUUUGAUUAAUUGCGAUUACGGAACGGUCCACCUCCACCUUAGAACUCUAGCCGGCAGACUCUCACGGCAAAACAAAAUGUGGAGGAAGAAGUUACGCGGAAGAAAUCAGAACUUUUGUUAUUCGGCUCGGCUGGACCAGAUGGCGAGCCACUUCGGUGACACGGGGCUGCAAUUCGGGACGGUAUUUAUAGCGGUAAAGAAAGGAUAAUUCCAGGAUCUAAGGACAUUUGAGGGAGCAGCCCGAGUCGACCUAUAAAUUUCGUCACUAUUCAAAUUAUGUCCAAGCAGCUUUUUGCAUCGAGAUUAUAAAUAAAUAUUACCUCGACAUUGUAACAAUGUGUGUAAAAUACAAACAGAGAGAAUAUGAUGCAAAAUCCGCGGAAACCGCUAUAUGGAAUAAUUUGUAGACACACAUAUAUUUAUACGACACAGAGUUUCCCGACGUCAGAUUGUGUGCUGAGGGAAAAGAUUUUCAUUACAGAUAGUCUCACCGCGUACACCGAACACCAU